rnacentral:rRNA from 1 species
AGUGAACGCUGGCGGUAGGCCUAACACAUGCGAGUCGAACGGCAGCACAGUAAGAGCUUGCUCUUACGGGUGGCGAGUGGCGGACGGGUGAGGAAUACAUCGGAAUCUACUUUUUCGUGGGGGAUAACGUAGGGAAACUUACGCUAAUACCGCAUACGACCUACGGGUGAAAGUAGGGGAUCUUCGGACCUUGCGCGUUUGAAUGAGCCGAUGUCGGAUUAGCUAGGUGGCGGGGUAACGGCCCACCAAGGCGACGAUCCGUAGCUGGUCUGAGAGGAUGAUCAGCCACACUGGAACUGAGACACGGUCCAGACUCCUACGGGAGGCAGCAGUAGGGAAUAUUGGACAAUGGGCGCAAGCCUGAUCCAGCCAUACCGCGUGAGUGAAGAAGGCCUUCGGGUUGUAAAGCCCUUUUGUUGGGAAAGAAAAGCAGCAGAUUAAUACCCCGCUGUUCUGACGGUACCCAAAGAAUAAGCACCGGCUAACUUCGUG